rnacentral:rRNA from 1 species
GACGAACGCUGGCGGCGUGCUUAACACAUGCAAGUCGAACGGAAAGGCCCUGCUUUUGUGGGGUGCUCGAGUGGCGAACGGGUGAGUAACACGUGAGUAACCUGCCCUUGACUUUGGGAUAACUUCAGGAAACUGGGGCUAAUACCGGAUAGGAGCUCCUGCUGCAUGGUGGGGGUUGGAAAGUUUCGGCGGUUGGGGAUGGACUCGCGGCUUAUCAGCUUGUUGGUGGGGUAGUGGCUUACCAAGGCUUUGACGGGUAGCCGGCCUGAGAGGGUGACCGGCCACAUUGGGACUGAGAUACGGCGCAGACUCCAACGGGAGGCAGCAGUGGGGAAUAUUGCACAAUGGGGGGAAGCCUGAUGCAGCAACGCCGCGUGCGGGAUGACGGCCUUCGGGUGGUAAACCGCUUUCGCCUGUGACGAAGCGUGAGUGACGGUAAUGAGUAAAGAAGCACCGGCUAACUACGUG